rnacentral:rRNA from 1 species
UACGAAGGGGGCGAGCGUUGUUCGGAUUUACUGGGCGUAAAGGGCGCGUAGGCGGUUCGAUAAGUCCCGUGUGAAAUCCCUCGGCUCAACUGAGGAAUGGCACGGGAAACUGACGGGCUUGAGUUCGGGAGAGGGAAGCGGAAUUCCGGGUGUAGCGGUGAAAUGCGUAGAUAUCCGGAGGAACACCGGUGGCGAAGGCGGCUUCCUGGACCGACACUGACGCUGAGGCGCGAAAGCUAGGGGAGCAAACGGG